AUUGAACGCUGGCGGCAGGCCUAACACAUGCAAGUCGAGCGAGCGGCGGACGGGUGAGUAAUGUCUGGGAAACUGCCUGAUGGAGGGGGAGAACUACUGGAAACGGUAGCUCAUACCGCAUACCAUUACGUGUGCCCAGAUGGGGUUAGCUAGUAGGUGGGGUAACGGCUCACCUAGGCGACGAUACCUAGCUGGUCUGAGAGGAUGACCAGCCACACUGGAACUGAGACACGGUCCAGACUCCUACGGGAGGCAGCAGUGGGGAAUAUUGCACAAUGGGCACAAGCCUGAUGCAGCCAUGCCGCGUGGGUGAAGAAGGCCUUCGGGUUGUAAAGCACUUUCAGCGGGGAGGCGUUACCCGCAGAAGAAGCACCGGCUAACUCCGUGCCAGCAGCCGCGGUAAUUC
rnacentral:rRNA from 1 species